CCUACGGGUGGCAGCAGUGAGGAAUAUUGGUCAAUGGACGAGAGUCUGAACCAGCCAAGUAGCGUGAAGGAUGACUGCCCUAUGGGUUGUAAACUUCUUUUAUAUGGGAAUAAAAUGUUCCACGUGUGGGCUUUUGUAUGUACCAUAUGAAUAAGGAUCGGCUAACUCCGUGCCAGCAGCCGCGGUAAUACGGAGGAUCCGAUCGUUAUCCGGAUUUAUUGGGUUUAAAGGGAGCGUAGGUGGAUUGUUAAGUCAGUUGUGAAAGUGUGCGGCUCAACCGUAAAAUUGCAGUUGAAACUGGCAGUCUUGAGUACAGUAGAGGUGGGCGGAAUUCGUGGUGUAGCGGUGAAAUGCUUAGAUAUCACGAAGAACUCCGAUUGCGAAGGCAGCUCACUGGACUGCAACUGACACUGAGGCUCGAAAGUGUGGGUAUCAAACAGGAUUAGAUACCCGUGUAGUC
rnacentral:rRNA from 1 species